rnacentral:lncRNA from 1 species
GAGGAGGAGGAGGAGAGUGAUGAGGAAAUAUGAAGUGAAACUCUCCAACUGUAAAAUUGAAUCUUCUGCAUGAGAACAGAGUUUGGAAACGGGAACAAACAAACACAAACGAGUCCGUUGUUUGAGAUCCAUUACUAACUAUCGGAGUGUGAGAGAGAGAGAGAGAGAGAGAGAGAGAGAGAGAGAGAGAGAGAGAGAGCUCCACGGAGUCAUUAAAGUUCCUCAGAGAUCAGAUCCAAACUCAUUACCACGCCGUCUUUGCGCUUCGUUUGAUGGUUCAGAGAAACCACGAGAACCGACCAUCUGCAACGCCGGCCUGCGUGAUCUUCAUCAGGAGAAAUGUGCUGCAUGUGCAGAAAUUAUGCAAAAUCAGAAGAACAGAUGCAGCAGCUGGAGUUUAACUGAUGUUCAUGCACAAAGCAGACCAGGUUCUGGGUCUCCUUGGUCCUGUUUUUGGGGUCGUGAUGCUACAAACCUUCUCCUACAGAGCCAUGCUGUUGUCAGGAUGUGGUUUGGGAUCAUCUGAAGGUCUUCUCUGAAAAAGUCUGUGUCUGGAUGGACGCAGAUGUUGCUCCUAAAGCUGGAGAUCGUAAAUGUGUCAAUUUCCACCGGCUUCUUUCCAUUUCGCUGCGGACUGCCUGACUCCACAGCUGAUCACAAGAGUUCUAUUUUUUCUGGACGUCGUUGCAAGUAGGUUCUUGUGAGUUCUCGCGCCCUACGCCAUCUAAUAUCCGCCAAGAAAUUCACCUCAAAAAAGCAUCUUGGAGGAAUUAGCGGAUAGUUAAAAUUGUCUCAGUCAUUCCAGAUGUGGUGGAAAUUGGGGUUUAUGUUUGAGGAUGCAGCAUCUACGAUUUCCAAUUCUUCGUUAAAAGGUCAACUGGACUCAUUUAGGACGUUUCGCCCAAGGCCUGAGGUGAAACGUCCAAAGUAAGUCCAGUCGCGGGUUCUUGUGAGUUCUUGCUAUUCCCUCUCUGCCGUGAAAUUAGCCUCACAAACGGAUCUGGUAGGAAUUGGUGGAUGGAGAAAAUCGCUGCCGUUCCAGAUGUGGUGGAAAUUGGGGGUUAGAUUCAAAACUGAAGAUGCAGCAUCUAUGAUUUCCAGGUCUUCGUUGAAAGGACAACUGGACUUAUAUCCCAACAAGUCCAGUUGUCCUUUCCAAAAGAGCGUUAGGUUCGAUCCAUCAGACCUCAGGACAGUUGGUGAUAUUAAACCCAUGCGGUGACUCCAACUACAGAGUCCUGAAGCUCCUAAACCUGGAGAUAUCGCUCCCUGAUCAUCUGUAGAUGUUCCUGAGGUUGUGUUUGCUUCACUCUGUUUCCAUCUUCAGAUCUCCACCCUGCCCCUAACCUUCAUGGAUCUGCAGACCUGGGUGAAGUGGGUCUUGGUCCUGAGUGGAUCCUCCUCCUCCUGGUCUUUAUUGUGUUCCUGACUUUAUGAGUCCUGAAACAGCCUGUCUGCUCCACACUCUGGUGUCCUUUAUGUGUCUUUGCUCCUCCAGCGCCUCGUCAGAAUUUAUAGCUGAUGUCUUGUUUGUCCAUGUCGCCGCCGCCGUCGUCGUCGAACCCCGGUGAUAAAUGUGUGUAUGUUUAAGUGUUCCUGUCCCUCCUCUCUGCGGCUCUUCGCCUCUUUUUAGUGAGAAUUUACAGUGAAGAAAAAGCAGCAGAUGUGCUCUCUCUGUCUCUCUGUCUCUCUCACCUUUGUGUUUGCGCAGUAUUCAUCACUCUUACUUCCUCCCGGAGUGAAUGGCAGACAUUAAUCUCUCUGUUAUACCGAUAAGACAUGACGGGGAAUGGGGCCGCUGCAGGGAGACGACAUUUUCAGGAUAUCAGAGGAAAGUCUAAAGGGAGAAAAGUUUGCAGUAAAAUAACACAGCAUGAUCGCUCCGGGAUGUUGGAUGUUCAGAUGAGGAUGAGAGAACGGCCUCUGGUUUCUGGGUGAUAAUCAGAGAGUGACGCUGGUGUUGUCUUUAGUCCAGGCCUGCAGCUGUAAAACUCAUAAACAUUAACACGGACUGUCCUUCUCUCUGUGUGCUCCGAAUAAAAACGACAUGUUUAAAAAAACUCUGAAAUACAUCAGCGUGUUUGUCUCCUGAAGGUCUUUUUCCAGCAUCUGAACCUGACAGGACUUUUCAGCUGACUGCUCUCGUUCUCGGACAGCAUGUCCUCGGACUGAAUGAUGAAUCUGUUUGCUGCAGCAGGAGUUCUUCAGUUUGGACGGAUCAACAUUUCUUCUCCUCCUCUACGCCGUCUUCUCGACUCCUUCUGAAUAUCAUCAACUCAGUGACGACUUCACCAAACUUCACUUUAAAAACUACAAAGUUUUUCUCUCGUCUCUGAAAACCAAACCACGGAAAAUGAUGUAGUACAUAUGCCAAGACAGUAAGUGGUGCUGUAACGCUGAAGAAGAGUACAGAGCACGUGUAUAAAGGUUGUUUUGGCGCCAUGAAAGAGUUACGCUGUGUGUCACAUGAUCGUUUCCAGAGAUGCAGAUAGACAUCCACACGGAGAUGAAAUGGUCGUCGUUUAUGGAUUCCGUGUGGCUGAAAUGCCAAUACGACAAAAACUUUAGCGUUUCCUCCUGAAUUCGUUUCCGUGGUGACGGGUUGAUACCGCCUUCAGACAGACUUUUCAGCGGGGAGUGGUUUACUCUUCAUCUCAACACGACUGACUCGCUCUUGUCCUAUUUAACCAUGAAAUUAUCGCCUUCUUUUGCAAACGCCAAUUUU